rnacentral:lncRNA from 1 species
UGGUCCUCGCCUGCAGCCUUGACGCCCAAGGCACUCAACAGGAUUUGCAACAUCCGAGCUCCUCUCGGAUGGAUAGCUACCUCUCUCCACCAGGCACCUCAACCGAACUUCGGUCGAUAGGCCUGGACCCCCUGGCAGGCCACAAUAAUGGCCACGACUUUGCUCCACUUCCUGCGAUGGAUUCCACGUGGCUCCAUCACUCCCUGACAGGCCAC